GACGGAGGAUGCAAGCGUUAUCCGGAAUGAUUGGGCGUAAAGCGUCCGUAGGUGGCCCUUCAAGUCUGCGGUCAAAGACAGGGGCUUAACUCCUGAGAGGCCGUGGAAACUGAAAGGCUAGAGUAAGAUAGGGGCAGAGGGAAUUCCCGGUGUAGCGGUGAAAUGCGUAGAGAUCGGGAAGAACAUCGGUGGCGAAAGCGCUCUGCUGGGUCUUAACUGACACUGAGGGACGAAAGCUAGGGGAGCGAAU
rnacentral:rRNA from 1 species